AAAUAGACAAUAAAUAUAAAGACAAAAAUAAGAGAAUAAAAACCAACCAAAAUAUAAUAAAAAAAAAAAAAAGGAAAGAAAUAUGUAAGAGAAAAGAAAAUGGUACACGCCCCUUCCGUUUUCUUUGCGAGGCUCGGGACAGCUUUAACGCAAAUGGCACGGGUAACUUAAGCAAUACGAGCACCAUGGAUACUUAGAAGGCACAGCGGCCGCCGAUUACACAAAGAAAAAUACACUUAAUGGGUAAUAACACAAAAUAAACAAAAGAAUACGGUCAAUACGGAAAGGAUUUGAAAGAGAGAAAGACAGUAGAGAAAACGGGAAUAAAGAAGUGAAAAAGAUAAAUAUACAAAAAUAAGGAAAAUAAAGAGUAAGAAAGUGAGUAAAAUAUAAUAACUGUACAAAAUCAAAGAAAACAGAGAGAGAGAGAGAGAGAGAGAGAGAGAGAGAGAGAGAGAGAGAGAGAGAAGAGCUUGUGUCAUAGUGGUAAGGCGUACGUAAUAAGAUCGUAAGAGGCAACACGAAAGUAACAUAUGAACACAGUCGCGUUAAGAAAUGAUGCCAAUAAGUCACGCUCAUUUUUUUCUCGUGUAAAUCGAAUAUAAACUAAAAUGUAAACUUGUGAACUGGUUUGCAUUGAGAGAUUCACGAAGACCUACAAGAACUGAGGAGGAUUAUUCUUUUCUUCUUCUUCUUCCUUUUCUUUUCUUCUUCCGCUUACCCUUCUUCUAAAUCUGCGUCAGGUAUGCAGAGGAAAAGCGAAGCGAAACAUGAAUAUAAAACAGAAAGACUAUAAAUAAAAUAAAUCUGAUCCUUUUUUUUUUCUCUCUUCUUUUUCUUCUAACUUUUUCAUUUUCGUCAGGUAUAUAGAGGAAAAGCGAAACAUGGGUUAUAAAGAAAAUGUUACUCCUUCAAAAAGAAAAUAAUUCAGAUACUAUUUUUUUCUUCUUCCUCUUUUCCUUUUUCUUCUAUUACUUCUUAAUCUGCUUUGGGUAUGCAGAGGAAAAGCGAAACAUGGGUUUAU